rnacentral:rRNA from 1 species
AGAAUCAACGCUGGUGGCGUGCCUAACACAUGCAAGUCGCACGAGAAAGGGUAGCAAUACCUGAGUAAAGUGGCGCACGGGUGAGUAACACGUGAAUUAUCUACCUCCGAGUGGGGAAUAACUGAGAGAAAUCUUAGCUAAUACCGCAUAACACUUACGAGUCAAAGCAGCAAUGCGCUUGGAGAGGAGUUCGCGGCAGAUUAGUUAGUUGGCGGGGUAAUGGCCCACCAAGACGAUGAUCUGUA